rnacentral:lncRNA from 1 species
GAAGAUGGGAGCAUCUGGAUUAUGGUCGACUUGAUCUUAUAAUGGCUUGCAGAAAUAUCAGGUAAGUGGAUACAAAUUGAUGGAUUAUAGAUAGAAGGAAUAAAUUAUUCUUUCAUCUAUCUCGGUGGUUCUUCAGGAUUUUCAGUUAUUUGAUUAUCAGAUUUAACAUAGAUCGGCCAUUCAAUUUCAGGAUUAAGUUCUAUUAGGUCAGAAAAAAGAGAUCUCCUACCAUGCACGUACUAGUGCAAAUCCUAAUAUGUGUGGUUUAGAUUUUUAUUUUUUUUUAAGAAAGAGAGAG